rnacentral:tRNA from 1 species
UAAAUAGAAUCUAAUGUAAUAGAGUUACAGUGAUAGUGUGAUUAAGCUUAAAUAAAUAAGCCUAUUUAA